UACGGAAGGGGCUAGCGUUUUUCGGAAUUACUGGGCGUAAAGAGCGCGUAGGCGGCUUGCCAAGUUGGGGGUGAAAUCCCGGAGCUCAACUCCGGAACUGCCUUCAAAACUGGCAAGCUCGAGUCCGGAAGAGGGGCGUGGAAUUCCCAGUGUAGAGGUGAAAUUCGUAGAUAUUGGGAAGAACACCGGUGGCGAAGGCGGCGCCCUGGUCCGGUACUGACGCUGAGGCGCGAAAGCGUGGGGAGCAAACAGG
rnacentral:rRNA from 1 species